GAGCACUGAAUGGGCUAGGGCAUACACCAAUGUACCAAACCCUAUCAAACUCCGAAUACCUUAUAUGUAAUCACAGCAGUCAGGCGGCGAGUGAUAAAAUCCGUCGUCAAGAGGGAAACAACCCAGACUACCAGCUAAGGUCCCUAAAUCUUACUUAAGUGGAAAACGAUGUGAAGUUACUUAAACAACCAGGAGGUUGGCUUAGAAGCAGCCAUCCUUUAAAGAAAGCGUAAUAGCUCACUGGUCUAGUGAUUUUGCGCGGAAAAUAUAACGGGGCUAAAGUAAGUACCGAAGCUGUAGACUUGCGCACAACUUAGAUUAUUUAAGUUUAGAAUAUGAGAAACUAAGUUAUAUGUUUAGUUAUAUUUUUACUGAUUUUUAUAGAGUAAAGAUAGAAAUAAAACUUAGUAAAAUCAGUAAAAAUAUUCUUAGACUAAAGUUAAGUAGUUUAAGUUGUGUGCAAGUGGUAGGAGAGCGUUCUAUUUGCGUCGAAGGUAUACCGGUAAGGAGUGCUGGAGCGAAUAGAAGUGAGCAUGCAGGCAUGAGUAGCGAUAAUUAAUGUGAGAAUCAUUAACGCCGUAAACCCAAGGUUUCCUACGCGAUGCUCGUCAUCGUAGGGUUAGUCGGGUCCUAAGUCGAGUCCGAAAGGGGUAGACGAUGGCAAAUUGGUUAAUAUUCCAAUACCAACAUUAGUGUGCGAUGGAAGGACGCUUAGGGCUAAGGGGGCUAGCGGAUGGAAGUGCUAGUCUAAGGUCGUAGGAGGUUAUACAGGCAAAUCCGUAUAACAAUACUCCGAGAACUGAAAGGCUUUUUGAAGUCUUCGGAUG
rnacentral:rRNA from 1 species